GCGGUGACGACCGCACGGUGAGCCGUUAUUUUAGUUGGGCGCCGCCGAGGCCUCCGCGUCGCCACUGCAGCCUGGCGCGGCCCGCGGAUCGGCUGCCGCCCGCGGGGUCUCUCCGAGUCUUCCGUCUGUCUCUCCGUCCCGAUCCAAAUCCUCCCCAAUUCCUCAUCUCAGAUCCACUCAAGUCUCCAACCCUAGCAGCUGGCGGCGCCGGCGGCCGGGCCAUCCGACAAUCGGCCGAGAGGCAGGCGAUGGGCGUGCCGGCAGCACCUUGAGCUUGGAGGCCAGUGUGGGCGCUCGGCUUGGCGCGUGGGCGGGCGGGCAGCGAUGGCUUCCUCCGCCGCAGUGGCGCGGCUGCGGGAGCUGACGACGGCCCCCGCGCGGUUGCGCUCGCCAAGUGCUGCGCGGAGCUCUUCCGCCCCGGCGGCAGCGACGCCGAGGCCGCGCACGAGGUGCUCGAGGCGCUUUGCGCUGCAGGCGGAGGGGACGCGAUGCGGAGCCACGCCGACGGCCUCGCACCGCUGGUCGUCGCGCGGCUUGGGGACGGGGAUGCGGGCUGUGCGGGAGGCCGCUAGGAGGUUCCUCGUGGUGCUCAUGGAGGCUGCUCAUGGAGAUGUUUCAAGCAACAUCUACAGCUACCAAGCCGUUCCACCACUUCACCACUGCCACCUCCCUACUACCUCUAUGUGUUACAGGUGACUAAAGUUCCCCUAUUUUAUUUUCAGCUAUGAUUAUUAGGUUAUGGUGCUUCUACAGGAAAAUACAGUAAAGGUUGGCUAGGUGAGUCUUGUGGCGCUUGGAGUUGGAUUACAGAUGAACUUUCUGGAAGAUGGUAACAGUGUGGCUUAAGCAUUAUUAUUCUGAACUAAUUGGUUUGGGAUUUGACCGGGUGAGCUUACGACCGUGUGCACAGAUAAGUCUCUCCCUUUUCUAUUCACCCCUUUUUCAUCUAUGUUAGAGUGCAUAUGUAUGAGUGUGAUUAAAUGGAAAAUGUAAGCACAUAUUUGGAAGUUACAGAUGAAGACUUUUUGGAAGAUGGUAAUAUGCUAUACCCCUUCUUCUUUCUCUGUUUGGCUAUCUAUGAAGCUAAACUGAUGAUAAAAGGAUGGUGUGCUUUAUCCAUUUCACUUCUGCAGGUACCAGUGUGGCUUAAGCAUUAUUAUUCUGAACUAAUUGGUUUGGGAUUUGACCGGGUGAGCUUACGACCGUGGGCACAGAUAAGUCUCCCUUUUCUAUUCACCCCUUUUUCAUCUAUGUUGGAGUGCAUAUGUAUGCGUGUGAUUAAAUGUGUAGGCACAUAUUUCGAAGUUAGAACUGUGAUGCUGAACCUAUUUGCAAGCUUGCAGCACUUUUUUAGUGGGUACAAGUUAAACAGGUUUAAGAAGCUUAUUGUAGGAAACUAAAUUCUGCAUGUUUUUUUCACAUAAUUUUAACUCUGUGCAGCACAAGAGCAGCCUCUGCUAUCUUUUUAUAUCUUUGUUCUGCAUAGCAGCCUGUUGAUUAUUUACUUGAAUGAAUAUUCACCUACUCAUUGCAUGACAGGUAACCUGAAUGCAUCAGCUAAUAUUUAAAUCACUCUCUUCUCUAUCUUGCCUUACUCUUGCCCCGCGAGCCCUGCUCCUUGCGCAGGAGGACCGCCGCCGCCCGCUGCUCGCCCUCGGAUCCGCCGCCGAGAGGGUGCAGGGGAGUGGGGGCCGCCGGAAGGGAGCAGGGAGGAGGCAUUGGAAAAAAAAAGAAAAUGGAAGGGAGGAAGGGGGUCGUCGGUGGCAGCAGAGGGUAAAAAAAAACCUGACACGUGGGUCCCAUAGCUAGUACCUGGUAUAGAGAAGGAGAAAUAUAGUAUGACGAGUGCGGGAUAACCUGCGAACAAAAAAAUUAUGCCGAGAAAACAAAUUGUACAUACUAAAACAUCGCAUGCAUUUAAAAAAACUUAACAUAAUCUACUCUGCGUUAAUUACAUACUGGUCCAAACUUAACAUACCGGAGUUCGGCGCUGCCUGCCAAAGAGUACCAGCUACGAACUAAGCAGGGACCGCCUCGCGCGAUCAGAGAGGAGAUGGGAAACCGCGGCUGCCUGCGGAGCUGUGCGAUGCCGCCGUCAUUGCUGCCUGUGCACGAGGGCCGGCGCUCCGCCGCCCCCAACUGCGUGCACGGGCCUGCGUACUGCUGCCUUGCAUAUGGUUGUGCCAUGCCUGGACGAAGCAGCAGGGAGCAGCGGCCAUACCUGGCCGAAGCAGCAGGGAGCAGCGGCCAUACCUGGCCGAAGCAGCAGGGAGCAGCGGCCAUACCUGGCCCAUGGGAGUGACGGGGCUACUCCAUGCCCCUUGAUCCCCAACUUCACAGUCUUGACUAAGAUUUGUCCAUUUUCUGAUUCUAACUGCAGCUCACAUCAAGCCAUAAUUGCUGCCUGCAAGGUGCUCGACAAAAUGCUCCAGUGACGACAUGAUGUUUGGAGCUCUGUUGGCAAAGGAGAAAUUCUUUGGCAAAGUUGAAGAUGUGGCCUACGAACUCGGAUCCCAGUACCAGUACAACAGACGCAUAAUGUCCCAAUAAUGGUCCUCUUCUCUGCUAGAUUGGAACAUCAAACCUUGCAGUAUCAUGUAUUCUCCAAGGGCUCAAAGGAUGACCGAUUUUCAGUCAAUGAAAAAUCUUUCAAAGGCAAUUGACUUUGCUAAGAGGAAUUUGCUUGCUGGAAAUAAAAUUAUACUUGUAUGCUGUCAAAAUGGAGAAGAUAUAAUUAUUUGUGUUUCCUUGGCAAUAGUGACAUUGUUGUUCGAUGAUAACGGAUGCUUUGACUGUGUCCAUUCUUUCAUGAAAAGAGACAUCGCAAGAUUGGAGAUGAUGAAGAGGCUGGUAUAUAUUCAUUUGCAAAUUUGUAGUAAAUGCACAGCCAUCUAGAGGAAACUUGAAACAGGUUUAUGAUUCAUUGCUUGUAUGCAUGGAGUUUCUAUUGGUUUGAACUUUAGAGUUGGUCUUUCACGCCAUUUUAUGAGAUAUGGUUAUACUGAGAAACAAUAGUUCGAUCAUGAAAGUUCCACUUUGUAAGGUCGAUUUCACAUUUGAAUUUGAUGGGUGAUGGAUACAAGUAGAAUAUGCCAUAAAAAUAGCAAUGAUCAAUCAUAUGUAGAUUA